rnacentral:rRNA from 1 species
GAUGAACGCUGGCGGCGUGCCUAACACAUGCAAGUCGAACGAAGCAUUUUGAAUGAAGUUUUCGGUAUGGAUUUUAAGUAUGACUGAGUGGCGGACGGGUGAGUAACACGUGGAUAACCUGCCUCACACUGGGGACGAACAGCUAGAAAUGACUGCUAAUACCGCAUAAGCGCACAGUACCGCAUGGUACAGUGUGAAAACUACCGGUGGUGUGAGAUGGAUCCGCGUCUGAUUAGCCAGUUGGCGGGGUAACGG